UACAUGCAAGUCSAGCGGACUGAUGGGAGCUUGCUCCCUGAAGUCAGCGGCGGACGGGUGAGUAACACGUGGGUAACCUGCCUGUAAGACUGGGAUAACUCCGGGAAACCGGGGCUAAUACCGGAUAGUUCUUUUCCUCGCAUGAGGAAAAGUGGAAAGGUGGCUUUUGCUACCACUUACAGAUGGACCCGCGGCGCAUUAGCUAGUUGGUGRGGUAACGGSUCACCAAGGCGACGAUGCGUAGCCGACCUGAGAGGGUGAUCGGCCACACUGGGACUGAGACACGGCCCAAACUCCUACGGGAGGCAGCAGUAGGGAAUCUUCCACAAUGGACGAAAGUCUGACGGANCAACGCCGCGUGAGUGAUGAAGGUUUUCGGAUCGUAAAGCUCUGUUGUUAGGGAAGAACAAGUGCCGUUCGAACACGGCGGCGCCUUGACGGUACCUAACCAGAAAGCCACGGCUAACUACGUGCCAGCAGCCGCGGUAAUACGUAGGUGGCAAGCGUUGUCCGGAAUUAUUGGGCGUAAAGCGCGCGCAGGCGGUCUCUUAAGUCUGAUGUGAAAGCCCACGGCUCAACCGUGGAGGGUCAUUGGAAACUGGGGGACUUGAGUGCAGAAGAGGAAAGUGGAAUUCCACGUGUAGCGGUGAAAUGCGUAGAUAUGUGGAGGAACACCAGUGGCGA
rnacentral:rRNA from 1 species